rnacentral:rRNA from 1 species
AACGAACGCUGGCGGCAUGCCUAACACAUGCAAGUCGAACGAGACCUUCGGGUCUAGUGGCGCACGGGUGCGUAACGCGUGGGAACCUGCCCUUAGGUUCGGAAUAACUCCCCGACAGGGGUGCUAAUACCGGACAAUGUCUUCGGCCCAAAGAUUUAUCGCCUUUGGAUGGGCCAGCGUUGGAUUAGCUAGUUGGUGAGGUAAAAGCCUACCAAGGCGACGAUCCAUAGCUGGUCUGAGAGGGGGAUAAGCCACACUGGGACUGAGACACGGCCCAGACUGCUACGGGAGGCAGCAGUAGGGAAGCGUCCGCAAGGGGCGAAAGCCUGACGGAGCAACGCCGCGUGAGUGAGGAAGGUCUUCUGAUCGUAAAACUCUGUUAUUAGGGAAGAAGAUAUGUGUAAGUAACUGUGCACAUCUUGACGGUACCUAAUCAGAAAGCCACGGCUAACUACGUG